UCCUACGGGAGGCAGCAGUGGGGAAUCUUGCACAAUGGGCGCAAGCCUGAUGCAGCCAUGCCGCGUGUAUGAAGAAGGCCUUCGGGUUGUAAAGUACUUUCAGCAGUGAGGAAGGUAGGGUAUUUAAUAGAUGCUUUGCUUGACGCUAGCUGCAGAAGAAGCACCGGCUAACUCCGUGCCAGCAGCCGCGGUAAUACGGAGGGUGCGAGCGUUAAUCGGAAUUACUGGGCGUAAAGCGCAUGCAGGUGGUUUGUUAAGUCAGAUGUGAAAGCCCGGGGCUCAACCUCGGAGUUGCAUUUGAAACUGGCAGGCUAGAGUACUGUAGAGGGGGGUAGAAUUUCAGGUGUAGCGGUGAAAUGCGUAGAGAUCUGAAGGAAUACCGGUGGCGAAGGCGGCCCCCUGGACAGAUACUGACACUCAGAUGCGAAAGCGUGGGUAGCAAACAGGAUUAGAUACCCUGGUAGUCCACGCUGUAAACGAUGUCUACUUGGAGGUUGCGGUCAUGAACUGUGGCUUUCGGAGCAAACGCGUUAAGUAGACCGCCUGGGGAGUACGGUCGCAAGAUUAAAACUCAAAUGAAUUGACGGA
rnacentral:rRNA from 1 species